rnacentral:rRNA from 1 species
GACGAACGCUGGCGGCGUGCCUAACACAUGCAAGUCGAACGGAAAGGCGCGGCUUUUGCGGGGUUUUCGAGUGGCGAGCGGGUGUGAAACACGUGAGUAUCCCGCCCUUGACUUUGGGAUAUCUUCAGGAAACUGGGGCUAAUACAGGAUAGGAGCUCCUGCUGCAUGGGGGGGGUUGGAAAGUUUCGGCGGUUGGGGAUGGACGCGCGGCUUAUCAGCUUGUUGGUGGGGUGGUGGCGUACCAAGGCUUCGACGGGUAGCCGGCCUGGGAGGGUGACCGGGCACAUUGGGACUGAGGUAGGGCCCAGACUGCUACGGGGGGCAGCGGUGGAAAAUAUUGCACAAUGGGCGGAAGCCUGAUACAACGACGCCGGGUGCGGAAUGACGGCCUUCGGGUUAGAAACCGCUUUCGCCUGUGACGAAGCGUGAGUGACGGUAAUGGGUAAAGAAGCACCGGCUAACUACGUG